CCACAUGUGUACAAGCUAGACUGAAAGUACUAAUUUAAUUGAAAACACAGUUUCAUUCCAUAUACCCUCCCUUUUAACAUGAUUUAUUGAGUCCCAACUAUGUAUCGGGAAUUAUCUUAAUCAUUAAAGUAAAAACUAAAUGAAAUAAAGUAAGAUAUUUCCUCAGCAUGAAAUUAUUGUAGUUUAGAGGAAGGAAGAACUAAACAAACCCACAAAAUGAUUAUGUAAUAUUCACUAUGAGCUAAUGUUAUUAAACCUCAAAUCAAGAAAUAAAUACCAUUUUAUAUCAUCAGGAAAAAAAUUGAAACAGAAAAUGACAUUAUAUCUGAAUCUGCAAGACUAUCUGUGCUGGACUGAGGUGGGCCUUCAUCGUCUAAGCGAGCAAGAGCAAGUAGAAAGCCAUGCAGCCUGUAAAAGAAGUUGAAAUAUUGGGGAACUAGUUGAUAACAUUAUUUUGCACUGAAUUUAGAAUCAAAUUGGUUAGGAAACUAGACUUAGAUGAGGAAGAUUACAGCAUUACUAUGAACAGCCUUCAAUUAUAGCCUAAGAUGUGUGUGGUUCGGGGCAGGGCGGGGGUCUGCCUGUGUGUGCCUGUGUUUCAGGAGGGAGUUACUAACAGAUAAUAACUUUUCUAUUUAUAUGCAGGAUGGUUCUGAAUGAGAUGAGAGUGGUAGUAUGAAAAUAAUUCAGAAGAUAAUUAUAAUUUUCUGGGUGUGAUAUCUUUAAAGUUUAAGUGAAGUUUUAAAAUUAGUUGCAGUAGAAACUUAGAUUCAAAAACACAUAAUGAAAAGCAAAACAAAACACUUUCUCAAAUGUUUUAGAGUAGUUUUUCUAGAAGUAUGGUUUUCAAAUCAGAUGUAUCAUCAUCAAAUGUAGACUUAGAAUCUGAAACUUUGGAGACAGCAGUCGGAAGGGUGGCAAUUUGUGUUAUAACAAGCUCUCCAGAUGAUUCUGAUGUAAACCAAUGUUUGAGAACUACUGAUUGAAAGUUUUUAAUUAAUUAUAAAGGUUUCUCUUUUAUGCCAUUUAUAUGCUUAUUCACAAUACUGUUAUUAACAUAUUUCACUGAUGCUGUGAUAUUAAAAGAAUUUCAAGAUGC
rnacentral:lncRNA from 1 species